AGCGAACGCUGGCGGCAGGCCUAACACAUGCAAGUCGAACGGAUCCUUCGGGAUUAGUGGCGGACGGGUGAGUAACACGUGGGAACGUGCCCUUUGGUUCGGAACAACUCAGGGAAACUUGAGCUAAUACCGGAUAAGCCUUUCGAGGGAAAGAUUUAUCGCCAUUGGAGCGGCCCGCGUAGGAUUAGCUAGUUGGUGGGUAAAGGCCCACCAAGGCUACGAUCCUUAGCUGGUCUGAGAGGAUGAUCAGCCACAUUGGGACUGAGACACGGCCCAAACUCCUACGGGAGGCAGCAGUGGGGAAUCUUGCGCAAUGGGCGAAAGCCUGACGCAGCCAUGCCGCGUGAAUGAUGAAGGUCUUAGGAUUGUAAAAUUCUUUCACCGG
rnacentral:rRNA from 1 species